AUGUGCCAUGCAUGCACUGCGCUUCUGAGCGCGCCGUCCGCACCCACCUGAAGACCGCUACGUUUUGUUGGCC
rnacentral:sRNA from 2 species